CCUGGAAUCAGAUCUGGCUUCCAGAGGAUGUUAAGACUUUUCCUUUCUGAGAAAGUCAGCGCCUGGAGGAGACCCAAGGCCCGGGCCCUUCUUCCCCUCAGCCGUAUCUGUCCGUCCGUAGAAAAGUGCAGUCUCAUGGGGGAACGUAUAGAAGGUGACACAUGGAGAUACUAAUGAUGGUGCCGACUGCAGUGUCAAACUGAAUGAGAAAAAAGCAGGAAAAAGGUUCGUUCAUUUCAAAUUCACAUCUGCCUUGUCUGGGUUGCAGUUUCAGGGAAAAUGUGGAAGCGGUGGCCAUUAAUUCCUUGAGGCCAGAGAACAUUACCUGACAGAUUGCUGCUCAGAUAUCUCUCCUUUCAUCCAUGUUGAUGUAUUUGAAGAAAAAAAUCCCUUGAGUCUGGUCACCUGAGCUUUCUACACUGCUGGAAUAUUCCUUUGAAUAGCAGGGCAGGAAAUCUUCCUAUAAAGUAUUACAAUCUUUCCUUCAGAACUGCUAUGAAGAAUCUUUAGGGGUGCUUUGUUAAUUAAUCUGACCAGUUUCAGAGGGAAAUCACAGACAUUCUGGGCACAUGGCUCAAAUACCAUAAUUAAAUUCUUUUUCAGAUUUAAAUGUAAAGAUGGAGGUAGUGAUGACUGCUGUUAAGAAAAAUGAGGCAAGGUAAGGAAUAGAGAAUGAUGGAGAUGGGAUGACUAUUUCAAGGUUUCUCUGAUACAGUGACAUUUGAGCAGACCCUUGAAUAAAGUGAGGGAGUGAGGUACUUAGAAAUAAGUGGGAAGAAUAUUUCAAGCGGAGGGACAAGUAAGUACAAGUAUUCCGGGAACACCGAGGAGUUCUGUCUGGCUAGAGUGGAGUGAGCCAGGGGAAAAUGUUGGGAGAUGAAAUCAGAGAACUAGGGGCAACAUCAUGAAGGGCCUUGUAGACCAAAGUAAGAACUUUGGAUUUUAAGCUAAUAAGAAGGGAAGCUAUUAUAGAAUUUUUAAUCAGAGGAAUGAUACUAUCUGGUGUAAAUUUUAAAAUAAGUGUUAAAACACAAAAUUCAGUCAAGUAAAUUUGAAGAUCUAAUUGGCUUUACUAAACGAUUCAUGAAUCUGGCAGCAUCCAAUCUAGCAAAUACAAGGGUGCUCUGAGGAGUUGUACAAAAUGGAAGGUUUUUAUAGGCAGAAGGAAGAUGGGGUAAGGAUGUUAGCAAAAGAAAAGAAAGUAUUAUCUUAGGCCAGGACAUCUCUGAGGGGAAGGGAACAAGCAAGGGUUUUAUCAUGCAGAUUGCUUCAUCCUCUGGGAGAUAGAAAGGACCCAGGUGACAGUUACCUCAUUAUUAGUGACCAGAAAAUUCCAGACUGGUUGAUUAAGAUUAUAUUUCUGAGGAAGGUCCAAACUGCAGUUAGGUUAGGUGUUAAAUCUAGGUUUGGUAUCAUGGGCUUUAGUACAAGUGACCCCAUUUUGGGUUUUGUGGUUUUUAUCUUUAACGUAAGAAAUACCCUGGUUGUUUAUUAGAUUUUAGGGUAAAUUAUUAGACUGAAGCCAGAUUGAAGGUAGAGCUAAUAGGACUUGCUUAUGGAUUGGAUGUGGCUGGGAGUGGUGGUGGAGGAUGUCAAAGAAAUUUUUAACCUGAGCAACUGAAAAAAAUGGAGUUGCCGUUUAUAGAGUUAAGGAAGGGUGGGGGGUAGAAAUAGGAAAACAAGAGUUCAGGUUGGGAGAUCUUAUAUAUGAGAUAGCCUCUAGGCAUACAAAUGGAAAUAUCCAGUGGGCAAUUGGAUAUACAAAUCUGGAAUUCAAGGGAGAGGUUGGAGUUAGAGAUAUCUAUUUAGGAGCUAUUAGUCUGUACAUGGUAUUUAAAGCAUGGAACUGGAUAAGAUCACUAGAGUGGGGUCAGCUAAAGGACAGAGGGAUCUAAGGCCUAGGGCAUCUAGUAAAAGUUUUGGAAGAUAAAUGGAAACCAGUGGAGAAGAUUGAAAAGGAGAACUGAGAGAGUAGCAUGAAAGCCAAGAGAGUGCUGUUAUGGUUGCCAAGUGAAGAAAAUGAUUUGAAAGGAAAAGAUGAUCAACUGUGUCAAAUGGUGCUUACAGGACAAGUAAGAUGAAGACUGGAUUUGGCAAAAAGGAGGCAUUGGUAAUGUUGACAAAAGAGGUUUUCAAAGAGGUGUUGGGAAGAAAACCUCAUUAGUAUGAUUUCAAGAGAGAGAAUGGGAGGAAAGGAAGUUUAGACAGUGAGUAUAAACAGGAUUUUGAAGAUUUUGUUUUAAUGCAGAGAAUAAACAUUGAAUGAUAGCUAGAGGGAAAUCUGCACAGGAAAGCUCUUUUUUAAGAUAAAGCAUAUCAUCCUGAUGCUGAUGGGAUCAUCUCUGUAGAGGGAACAACAGAUUAUCAGGAAAGAGAGGGAACAGUUUAUUAUUGUUAUUUUACUGAUUCAUUAUUAUUGCUACUAACUUUUACUGCUACUGUACAAUGAGAACUGAUAUUGAAAUUUUAUAUCCACAAACUUUAUAAAUCUCUCAAUUAUACUAAUAGCCAAUAUUUUUUGAGUGUUUACUGUGUGACUGGGACUAUUUCAAACACUUUCAGUUGUCAUUAUCUUGCUUAAUCCUCUCAAUGCCUCUAUUAUCACCCCUCAUUUAACAUAUGAGAACAUAUAAGCUUAGUAGAGUUAAGAAUUUGCUCAAAGUCAACACUGGAGCUCAAACCCAAACCCAAGUAUGACUGCUCUCAGAUGGGCCAUUAAUCUUUGCUAAACUGCCUCUGGUCAACUGUUUACUAUGCUUCACUCAGGAAGCAUUUGAGACUUUUUGUGGAGAUUUCAACAAAUAACUUUCUGGUCAUUCCAAAGUCAACCAGAAAUUUUAUAUCUUAGUGAAGGCAUGGUCUUUACUCAGAUUGCUCACUCCAUAUAUCUUACUUUUCACUUAAACGUAACUAUGAAUCUUAAAUCUCUGUGAAUGACACUGGACAUUAUGUAAGUUAAAGGGUCGUUUUAGGACAGCAAGACAACUGGUCCCCUAUUCUUAUAGUUGUCUUCAAGACCAGCAUAUGGGGGAGAUACUAAAAGAUCACUUACCAAAUUUUUUGGCCUUGGGCAGAUUGUUUAAUAUUUAUUAGUCUCAGUUUUCUCAUCAGUAAAAUGGAGAUACUGUGUACUUUGCAGGAUUAUGGCAAGGAUUGCAUACACUUGAGGGAUAAUGUGUGUAAACUGCUUAGUACUAUGCCUGGCACAAAGUAAGCACUUAAUAAUGUUCAUUAUUGUUUGUCUUCUUUCAGUAGCUUGGAAAAGGCAGUUCUUCAUUUCCAACUGUAUUCCAAGGAGCUUUGCGAAACUUACAGGGCCAAGGGAAUUCCUUAAUUGGAAGAAACUAUUGGGGGGAUUGAACAGGAAAAUAUAUUUAGAAUUUUGAGUUGUAAAGAGACUAUCUCAUGCUCCAGUUCUACUCAACCCAGUUUCAGCUGGGCACCAUAUGAAGCACGUCCUUCUCAUUAUAAGGGUAACUUACCUAGACAGCUGGUUCAGUUUAUCUUAUAAAAACAUCUUCAUGAAGCAAACAUUUUGAAAUUGUGCUAUAUUAUCACUGACCUAAUCCCAGUGUUUUUCAAACUUCUUGUAGCAGUAGAAUCCCUUCUUAUGAAUAAAAUGUUACACGGGGUCUCAAAACACGAAAUAAAUAAAGGCAAACUGCUUUGAUUGAAGCUAAGCUAGGAGUGGGGGCCCAACUCACCCUCCUCAUCAGCAGUUUCCCUUCCCCACCUCAAGUGGUCCCUAAGGCACAGCAAUGGCACUUUAGGAUUCUGUGGGGUCUAGUUUGAAAAUCACUGGCCUAAACUAUUUGGUCAUUAAGAGCAUCAAUAAAUAUAUCUUUCAAUAGUAUUUAUCAGUUGUAUACUGUAUUCCAGGCACUGUGCUGAGUGGUGAUAGGGAGACUAUGGUGAAUAAGUCAGGGCCAGCCUCAAAUUAUGUAGACUUUAAUCAUAGAGAAAUUUAUGGUAUCAAAUGACUGUAAGUCCAGAACUAGAGUGGCUAUGGAAGGCAGUAUAAUGGCUGCCCAAAGGUGUCCAAGUCCUCCUUCCUGAAACAUGUGACUAUGUUACAUUACAUGACAAAGGGGAAUUAAAGUUGCUAAUCAGCUGACCUUAAAAUAGGGAGAUUAUCCUGGGUUAUCUGGAUGAGUCCAAUGUAAUCACAAGAGUCUUUAACUGUAGAAGAGGGAGGCAAAAGAGGGGUCAGAGUCAGAGAAAGAGACAUGAUGAUGGAGCAAAAGUCAGAGUGAAUCAAUGUGAGAAGGACUCAAACUACCAUUGCUGGCUUUGAAGAUGGAAGAAGACCAGAAGCCAAGGAAUCUGGGCAGCCUCUAGGAUCUUGAAAAGAUAAAGAAAUGGAUUUUCCCUACAUUGCUAGAAAGGGAUACAUCCCUGCUGACACCUUGAUUUUUCCUCAGUAAAACCCAUUUUGGACCUCUGUUCUCUAGAACUUUAAGAUAAUAAUUUUUUGUUUGUUUGUUUAAGCUAUCAAAUUUGUAGUAAUUUGUUGUAGCAGCAAUAGAAAAUGAAUAUAGUAGUUGUCAGAGUUUGUUAAUUCAGCAACUCAAAAAGUCAUCAAUGGCAUAAACAUAGACAUAUAGACUAAUAGAAUGAAAUUGAGAUUCCAGAGGUAAGCCCAUAUAUUUAUGGCCAAUCGAUUUUUGACAUGGGUGCAAACUCCAUUCAAUUGAGAAAGAAUAUUCUUGCGACAACUGGAUUUCCACAUGCAAAGGAACGAAAUUGGACCCCUACCUCACACCAUAUACAAAAGUUAGCUUAAGAUGGGUCAACAACCUAAAUAUAAGAGCUAAAGCCAUAAAACUCUUAGAAGAAAACAUAGGGAUAAUCUUCACACUCUUGAAUUUGGCACCAAAAGUAAGAGUAACAAAAAGAAAAAUAAAUUAGACCUCAUCAAAAUUAAAAACUUUUGUACAUCAAAGAACAUUGUCAAGAAAAUGACAACCUACAAAAUAUUUGUAAAUCAUAUCUAUGAUAAAAGUCUAUAUCCAGAAUAUAUAAAGGACUCCUACAACUCAACAACAAAAAGACAAUCUAAUUAAAAUAUGGACAAAGACUUGAAUAGACAUUUCUCUAAAGAAGAGAUAUAAAUAACCAACAAGUACAUGAAAGAUGCUCAGCAUCAUUAGGCAUUAGGGAAAUGCAAACCAAAACUACAGUGAAAUACCACUUCACACCUACUCGGAUGGCUAUAAUAAUUUUUUAAAAUGAAAAUAAUGAAUAUUGGCAAAUAUGUGGACAAAUGGAAACCCUCAUAUGUUGCUGGUGGGAACGUAAAAUGCAGCUGCUGUGGAAAAGUGUUUGACUGUUCCUCAAAAGCUAGGCAUAGAAUUACCAUGAGCCAGCAGUUCCACUCCUAGGUAUAUAAUCAAAAGAAUGGAAAGCAGGGACUCAGAUACUUGUACAUCAAUUUUCCUUGCAUUAUUAUUCACAAAAGCCAAAAGGUGCUAUUGGGGAAGUGGGAGAAUUCCCCCCCUUUCUCUUAAGGUUCUUAUCACUGGUCAAAUAAUUAAAAAAGGAAGGUUAGCAGGAGAAAAUCAAACAAAAUUUAAUAGCAUGUACACAUGGGAGAAACUCAGGAGAAACCGAGUGACUCACCCAUCUGGCCGAGGCUGCUGUUUAAUCAUCUUCAGCUACAGACAAGGAGGACAUUUAGGGUAGUGAUUUAGGGCUUCAAAGGGGAGGAAGGCAAUUCACAUAGAAAUGGAAAAGCAAAUGUUUGGUAAAUAGAACUUUGAUAAGAGUGAGCUUAGCAAGGAUCCUCCCAGUGUACGGAAACCCAGAGGUAUCUAUGGGAUUGCCUGUCCUGGGAAUAGGCCUUUAUUUUAACUUUUUUUUAGGCAGUUAGUGGGGAAAGGUCGAAUGUUCUUCCUGAUUCUGAGCCUUUAUUGUCUUCAGGUCGGAAUAAUCCGCAUACCAGAGUGGCGCAUCUUGGGGCGGUCUGCCCUGAACCCCGUCAGUGCAAAUAAUCCAAGUGUCUAUCGACAGAUGAAUGGAUAAACAAAUGUAUACAUGUACAAUAGAAUAUUAUUCAGUAUAAAAGUAAUGAAGUUCUGAAGUAUUUUUUUCCACUAAACAUUUAUUAAGCUGUAAUUUUCACAAUAUUUUAAUUCUAUUCUGAAAUCUAUCUACAAAUAUCUCUAUAUGACACCAAAGCCAGUGAUUUAAUAAAUGAGAGUAAUGUAUGUAUCACUUUGCCAAAAAUAUAUGUUUGUUGCCAAACAAAACAUAUUUAUGUUUAUAUAUGAUAUUUUUAGAAUCAGUUUCCCAAGGCUCAUGGAACUAAAGUGGGCACACAUCUCACACACACACACGUACUCACCCCACUAUCUUCAAAUCAAAUGGAUUUAUAUUGUGUCAAAUUAAAUGCCAUAUAAAAUUUAUAUCCAGAUACACAAAAUAUGAAUUGAACUGCUGUUGAUAAUGGAUACCAUACCUCACUACCCUUGAACCUUGAAAACAUUGUGCUAAGUGAAAUAAGCCAGACAGAAAAGGACAAAUAUUCUAUCAUUCCACUUAUGUGAAAUAUGCCAGACACAAAAGGACAAAUAUUGUAUGAUUCCACUUAUAUGAAAUAUCUAGAAUAGGCAAAUUUAUAGAGACAGAAAGUAGAUUAGAGGUCACCAGGGGCUGGGGACAAGGGGGAAUGGGAGCUGUUGCUGAAUGGUUACAAUGUUCCUGUUUGGAGUGAUGAAAAAGUUUUGGAAAUAGAUAGUGGUGAUGGUGGCACAACAUUGUGAAUGUAAUUAAUGCAACUGAAUUGUCUCCUUAAAAAUGGUUAAAAUGGCAAAUUUUGUGUUAAGUGUAUUUUACCACAAUAAAAAAAAGUCAUCAAGGACCCAGGUCUUUUUAUUCUUUUCUCUUUGCCACCCACAGCAUCAACUUUAUGCUAAGGCUAGUUAUUUCUUCCUCAUCCUCUUCAUCCUCCUCCCUCAGACAACAGAAACUGUAACUGAGUUAUGAGAUCACUAGAACCUUAGGAGAGCAAGAUGAACUAUAUUAACAUGCAGAUCACAGGAAUGAUGCACCCGAAAACAGUGAUGUCAAGAAAAGUACCUUGAAGCCUAGGCCUGCUUUCUCAGCCUAGGCUUGCUGCCCUCCUGCUGUUCCUCUGGCAUGCUGGUCAUGGCCAGAAUCUCCCACAAUGAGAGCCCUUCUGGACAUGAUGUGAUAUUUAUGGGGUAAUGUUCAAAGGUGGCGUACUAAGAGCUGGGAGUACAAAGUUGAUCAAAAAGACAAAAGCAAGCAGAGGAAGCUGCGGUGUGGUAUUCUUAGCUCUUAUUAUAGGUUCUGCAGUAGUACGGGGGUGGGACAGUGAGCUCAGUCUUGGGAAGCCCUCUUUGAGGAAGUGAAGGCAUAAGACUUAGCCAAGUGGAGAUGUGCAAACCCCAGAAGCAAGAGGGAGCAUGGCACAUGCAGGGAGCUUUAGGUAAUUAGAGAAGGCUAGGGCACAGACUCCAUGGGAGGUAGUGGUAAGAAGAGGGAACUUGUAGGAAGGCAGGUAGAAUAGUUAGGAGGUUAUUUUAGUAAUCCAUGUGAAAGUUGAUGGUGCCCUGAAUGGAGGUAUUGACAGUGGAGAUGGAAAGAAGUGACAAAUUCAAAAGACAUAAAGGAUGUGGAAUGAAAGGAUCCGUGCUUGAUUUGGAUAUGAGGGAGUGAGAGAGUGAAGUGUCAUGUAUGGUACCUAGGUUUCUGACUUGGGCAUUUGAGUGGUAUGUUGGGGCUAGUGACAAGAGAGUGAAAUAUGAGGAAGAGAGGAGUUUGUGGGGCUUCACUUCCUACUUGGUAGCCUGCUUGGUUACCCUUCCUGGUAUCCCAGUCAGGUCUUCUAGGGAUCUAGCAUCCCUCCUGAACUCAGGCUAUUGCAAGGUCCUGACAGUCUCAUUUGUCUCUGUGAGGGCUAGUACUAUGCCCCUAGAAAUAAGUCCAUAGUCACCACUUCCAUUGGCAAGAGACCUCUCAAAUAUGGACAGAAUUCCUUGGAUCAUAGUUACAAUACUGCAGGACACUAAUGUAAGUUCCUGCCUAGAUCCCCCUAUGCAAUGCUCAGUCUGACAAACAGGCCCCUGGUACUAACAAUCUUAUGCCUGAAGUUGCUCUGACCUUUAGCAUGAUCUUGACCUAUGUCUUCACUCAGUUAUCAUCUAUUACCAGGUCAGCAGCUCUAAUAAUGAUUUUUUCUCUUUCCUUGGUGACUUAGUAUUGCUAGUGACACUGCAGCCUUAUACCAAACUGGCCCGAGUGAUAACACUGUGGAUAAUGGGGUGUGCAAGCUUAAGCAGCACCCAGAAUUCUACUUCGCCAGCUCAUCUGCCUUUGACAGAUGAACUAAAAUUGAAUAUCACUGGAGCUGCAGGAAGGGCAUACUUUCCCGUUACUUCUCUCAGAGAACACAUAACUGAAGGGUGCCCUCUGCUAAGUACCAGUGACUUUUACCUUCUUAGCUAUGAUUUGAAGCUAGUUCCUGGUCCUGCAAACUUAAAACAAAGGGCAACUGAACCAAAGAGAGACCUAAUGAGAAUUAGAAGGCUCUCAAGCCAUUAGGUUGCCUCUUAAAAUUCUUACCCGUGGUGAGUACACAACAUUCAACACCUUCGCUCCAUGUGCAGCCUCUCACUAGGCAGUUAUAACCAAUUACCUUAUGUAUGGAUUUGUCAGAGUGCUUGAGUUAAUGUGACUCAUUAAAACCUCAUGGAGAUAAGUGACUCACAGAUCCCUGCUGGCCAGAACACCUCUUCUGGUCAGGUUUUCACUGCUGACAGGCAAUGGAAACCUGACUAACCAGCAAAUUUGACAGGGUUUGAAAUGACUCAGAAGUUAAAACCUGCACAGGAACUUUAUGAAAACCUCAUGGGCUGCCAUGCUGGGGAAUCAAACCUUUUCCUAAGAAAAAGGACGUGCAGGAAAGUGUUAGAGCUGGGGGGAGCAGUCAAAAAAAAAUGUCCUGUGGCCAUUUUCCUGUAUGGAAUUGUGGUAUAGUUCUUGGCACAUUCCCCAGCCACCCCAUUUCCAUCUCCCUCCUUGAGCAAAAGUUGGAGGUCACAGAGAGGCAGAAGCAAGGCACCCAGAUAAGAAAGCAUGAGUAGUUGGUGGGGAGGGGGCUGUCAAUAUCUCUUCUCUUUUCUCAGAGAUAAUGGACCUGAGCAUUGGAGCUACCCUGAAUACGCCUGCACAUUGGGCUGUGCUAGCUCCUCCAGCCAUGGUGGAGUCGAUGAGCAGAGUGCUGGAGCUGAGGUGGACCUGAGAAAGAGCUAUGACUUCCUGGAGGCCAGUAAACUCCCUAAACUGGUAGUAGAGGAGCCAGCUGGAUUUUAAUGGCAAAAGGGAGGCUCCUGUAACAGUGGUGCUGUAUUUUAGUUAGCAGGAGCUGGAUUAUGGCAGGCCCUGCUGUUUGACACUCUGACCUGACACAUGCUGGAAUAGCCUCAGUCUUCAAGUAGCCAGCAUGGCGUCCCAAAGGGCACACACCAUGAGGUGGAGAGUUGUAACUUGUGAUGGAAGUGGUCCCAAGCAACCUCUUCCAGAUGUGUGGGGCCUUUCGUUGUCUAUUGUGUGCUUGGGGAAGUGUUCAUCAAGAGAGUUUGCAGAGAGAUCAGAGGGACUUGUUUUGGGAAGGGCUUUAGGCAGUGACACAGUCUGGCUCUGACUGAUUGUUGGAGAAAAUAAACAUUGAGCACAUCAAUGUACACAUAUUUCUUAUGUAAUAGUUAUCAUUUACUGUGCACUUACUCUCAGGAACAUUGCAUACAACUUCCCACUCUAUACUCACAAUGCUCUUAAAAGGCAUGUAUUAUUACCCCAGUUAUACAGAGGAGGUACGAAAGACUGAGGUACAAAAAGACCAAGUAAUUUGCUCUCCAAACAUGUAGUCUUAAUCACUUUUUAUGCUGUCUCCCAGUUCUGUGUGGUUCUACUAGUAGCUAAGGACUUCAUUUCUUAAAAUUAUCAGCUUAAUUUGAUGAGGAAAAUGUUUUAUUUUUUUCAGUUAACCUGUUAGACUCAGGCUGUUUAUAAUAAACAGGUUGACAUCUCCAGGUGAAGAGAAUAAAACUGAGUGAAAUACAAAUGCCUUCUCUCCUCUUUGCGUGAUGGGGACCUGAAGCUGGUUUUUGGUGGGAUUGAAUAAAGAAAUAACGCACGUGAUAUACAUGAAUAAAGCAUGCAUCCUGGAACCUAGUAGAAGCUUUAAAAAUCUUAGUUUAGUUUAUUAUACUCCAUCCUAGAGUUAUGUAAGUUAAAUCUUUAAUUAGACAGAGAUUCAAAAGAAAAUCCUAACAAAUCUAAAGAAUAUUUCAGAUUUUCUUUAAAACUGAAAGACUUUCUCAUUUGAGACAGAUUUUAAAAAGACUUCAAAAAUUUAUUCUCUCUUUCUUUUUUCAAUCACCUCUAAAUUUAGGUCUAAACAUUUUACCUGUCAGCUAUCUGUGUACUUAUACCCUUUCUUUAUAUUAAGACCGUAAACAUAGGAUAGGGAUGAAUUAGGGAGGGGUGAAUCCAGCUGUACUCUUGAGUUCACUGAACAUCUCAGAUGCUUUUUCAAAUGUUUUGGGCUCAGUGAAAUCCAAAACAGGUUUCACCCAUGCUUAUACUCUUCAGUUCAGAGCAUGUGCAAUUUAAGGGAAAUUUGAUCCAUAUGUUUCUGAUUCGUUUACACUUAAAUAGUCAAAAUAUUGUUUUUAAUAGUUAUUUGAUGCCCAAGUAGCCUUUUGAACCUUUUAAAUAAGCUUUUAGAAGCCUGCAUUUCUCUUGAAAACAGGAAAUCGUGUCUUUCCAAGGCGGUAAACUAAUUUAUACAUCUGAAAAUUCAGGUUCAGUGAAAAACACCCGAAAGCACAGGUUUUUAAUGGCCUGUCUGCUUGGCAAAUGAACACUCAGCUUUAGACUAAAUGCUAUUUGAACGCACCUACUUCUUGCUAUAUAUUUGGACUGGACAUCCAUUUCAGUUGGUGUUGGGAUGUUUUGAGUACUAGAUUUAGGGUCCUGAAGCUUGGAAUUUACCUAGUUUUUACUUUGGUACAGUUAUUUUCUGUUUUAAUUCAUUCCAGCUCUCCUAGUUAGUAGACUAACAUGGCUACUUGUUUUUCCAAGUAUUUCAUGUACAAUGAAUUCUUUUUGUGGUUUUCUUUUUUCUUCCUUUUCUUCACUGAUUGUCUUGUAUUUUUUUAAAGUAAAUCAACAUAUCUGAUUUCCAAUAAAACGAUGCAUGACUUCAACUGAGAUAUGAACACUAUCUUUUACCUGCAAGCCCAGAUACUGAGUAAAAUCAUGGUAGCCCAAAGGAAAUUAGGCAAUACACCUUGCAAAAGAAAAUAAAUAAGGAAUAAUGAGAGUUAGCGGAAAAAAAGAG
rnacentral:lncRNA from 1 species